CAAAAAAGAAGAACUUCCCACCGGCUGGUGCGCACGCCGCAAAUGCCACAGAUCCAGGGCUGGGCGGGCCAGGGGCCCGGGGGCCUGGAGCUGUCAGGGCGGCCUCCAGGGUGCUGGCUAGCGGGGAGCACCCGGGCCUUGAGCUGGAAGCCCGGGUAAGGGACGCUGGGGUCCUGGGAGGGCCGUGCGUCGGCUCGGGGGCUCGCUGGACCCUCAUCUGCAGGGGGCUGGCGUGUCCAGGCCCUGGACGGCUGGAGAGCGCCAAAGGGCCGAAACUGCCCUCAAUGGAGCAGGGCCGGUAGCGCCGCGCAUGUGCAGUUAGAAGAUGGAGGCGCAAAGGAGCAUGGGAAAGGGCGAGGCGCAAAGGACAGCGGGAAACGUGCCCUCGAGAAUGCCGGGAAACCCGGGUACCAAAGGAAGGUGGGAGGCGGAAAGCAAGACGCAAAAAUCUGGGGAAAUCGGCGCAAAGGGGCAGGGAUAAGUGACAGCGCGGAGGUUGGUGGGGAGAUGAGGGGCAAAUACAAAGGGGCAGGUGGGAAGCAGAGGGUGGAGUGGACAGGAAACAGUGAGAGAGCCGAAUGGAGGUCAGCGCGCCCCGGCCCCGCCCCGCCCCCCCGCGGCCCCGCCCCCGCCCCCGCCCCACAGCUCAUAAAAGCCUUAGCCACGCCCCUGAACUUGUGCGCCCCCUGGUGGCAGCCAUCGGAAGCACAAGCCUGCGUGCCACUUAGGCAGGUGCUGGCUGACUCCGGCUGUUUCCCAUUAGACGCUUCGAAAGACGCAGCCAGGAUGGCGGCUGUGCACCGGCCGCUCGUGCACACGCGUGUCCAGCGCGUGCACGCACACGGAGCUCAAGAAACAAGGCGCUCUGAGGGCGGCGCGCAGCGUCCGGAGCUGGGCCGUCUGCCCGGAGGCGACAGGAAGCCUGCAGCCUGCCCCACUGGCCCGGACCCCCGGGGCCAGCGUCCUGCUUCCUUCCCCGGCUGCUGGGAGCCGCAGGACAAACAGCCCAGAGGCACCGCCCCCCAGGCCUGGUGCAGCCCGGGAAACUGAGGCCCUGAGUCGGUCUGCCAGUGGCCAAGCUGGCCCGGGACCCAGCUGGAACAGAUCUCUGGGUGGGAGUCCUAUGGUCCAGGCACAGCCUGAUUUUUAAGAAAGUUUUAUUGAUUUUAACUUGAAAGGCAGAGUGACAGAGAGGUCCCAGUAGCCUGACAGGCCAGGCUGAAGCCAGGAAGUGGGCGCUGCGGCCAGGUCUCCCCUGGGGGUGGGCAGGGACCCCCAAGUCCUUGGGCCGUCGCUGCUGCCUCCCAGGGUGCGCACUAGCUGGGGGGCUGGCCUAGAGGCAGAGCCGGGACUCGAACCCAGGCCCUCGGACUUCGGAUGCAGGUGUCCCAGGCGGGGCCUCAACUCCCUGCAUGGUUUCAGGCUGACAGCUGCUCCUGUCAAUCCGGUCCUGCUCCAGUGGGAAGAUGACCUGGGACGAUGGUGCCACCUCCCGGAGCUGGUCCCAGCCUGCGGGUCGGGUGGACGCUUCUGGCUGGUCACUCCCCCACCUGGCCUCCCCUGCACACCUCCCCCCACCCACACUCACUUCCUGGGCGGGGCUGGGUCCGCUGAGUCAGCUGUCCCUGCCAUUCCCACGGCAGCCACCUGGGGGCAGUGGGCACCCGCGUCCAGCCUCCCUCUGCCAGAUCCACUCUGCCUCACUCGUUCUCUAGUGAGCACCUGCUGUAUACCUAGCCCCGUGUUGGGUGCUAGCGUAGGGAGGAAGACAGAGAAAACCCCCGCCCGCAUGGGGCUGACAUUCGAGUCAAGAUAGGGGGUGGGCGGCCCUGGAGACGGAUGGCCCAGUGACCGGGUUUCUGUGUGGCGGGGGCUCUAGUUGGGGAAUACACAGGCGGCGGCAGGAGGCAAUAAGGGGUCAGAUGAGGAGCGCGGGGAACGGUGUUGCCCCGGAGGGAACAGCACUGGGCGGCAGCGCAGGAAAAGGUAGGGGCCCCAAGCCCAGCCUUCCUCACUGGCCCCUCCCUGAUCCCCGGGCUCCCGCCUCCUG
rnacentral:lncRNA from 1 species